rnacentral:rRNA from 1 species
UGCAAGUCGAACGCUUUGUCUUUAACUGAUAUGAAGAGCUUGCUCUGAUUUGAUUUUAUCUGACAAAGAGUGGCGAACGGGUGAGUAACACGUGGGUAACCUACCUCUUAGCAGGGGAUAACAUUUGGAAACAAGUGCUAAUACCGUAUAAUACCAACAACCGCAUGGUUGUUGGUUGAAAGAUGGUUCUGCUAUCACUAAGAGAUGGACCCGCGGUGCAUUAGCUAGUUGGUAAGGUGACGGCUUACCAAGGCAAUGAUGCAUAGCCGAGUUGAGAGACUGAUCGGCCACAAUGGGACUGAGACACGGCCCAUACUCCUACGGGAGGCAGCAGUAGGGAAUCUUCCACAAUGGGCGCAAGCCUGAUGGAGCAACGCCGCGUGUGUGAUGAAGGGUUUCGGCUCGUAAAACACUGUUAUAAGAGAAGAACGGCACUGAGAGUAACUGUUCAGUGUGUGACGGUAUCUUACCAGAAAGGAACGGCUAAAUAC